rnacentral:rRNA from 1 species
UACGUAGGGGGCAAGCGUUGUCCGGAAUCAUUGGGCGUAAAGAGCGCGUAGGCGGCCCUGUAAGUCCGCUGUGAAAGUCAAGGGCUCAACCCUUGGAUGCCGGUGGAUACUGCAGGGCUAGAGUCCGGAAGAGGCGAGUGGAAUUCCUGGUGUAGCGGUGAAAUGCGCAGAUAUCAGGAGGAACACCGAUGGCGAAGGCAGCUCGCUGGGACGGUACUGAGC